rnacentral:ncRNA from 1 species
AUCGACCGGCCGGUCACACCAUGUGUCCGGCCCGCAAGUGGAGCUCCCCUCCCACCUGACCGGCCUUCGGGUCGGCGGGUUCCGGUCAGGCAGUCGGCGCCGCGUGCGCCCAAGCUGCCGAUGCGCCCCGCGGAACAAACGCGGCGGUGCUCCCGGUUGUACGGAGCCCCGCCUGUGUCCGUCCGGGGCGUUUCGU